rnacentral:lncRNA from 1 species
GUCGGCUGUGAGGCCUGAAAAGACAAAGCACAGUGUGACCCAUGGCGGGUUGUAGGACCCUCUGUGUUACUGGGCAGUACUUUCCCAUUUGGGGUCAGAGGUCAGGUUAUACCACUCUUCCUCCACAGACAUUUGGUGUCAAAUUAGUAGGAAAUUUUUUUGAAUAAAAGCUGGUUUUAUUCCAAUCCAGGUUUAAAGGAAGAUGGAAGAAACCUUUUGUCUCAAUAUCUCCAUCUUAUUAAAAGCUAAAAAAGACAGUUGGCCUUGAUUCAAAAGGAACAGGAGAGUCCCAAUUGAAUUCCGUUAGUUCCCUUCCUCCAGGAUUGGCUGGCCACAGGUGGUAUUAUAGUCCCUUAUGGCUGUCAUUCAGUUUCUAGCAGCCUUGCCCAGGGACCCUUCCUGGAUCCUGGCUAGCUGAUUUCAGCUGGGCACCUGUAUAAGAAAUAAGAAAUAGGCAAAGGAUGGAAAAAGGAAAAAUGAACUUUUGCACUUUGAUUGGGAGAGAAGCAGCGAUAUUGCUUCUCUACUCUAUAAAUCGGUUAUGAUUGAUAGAAGCAAGAGCCAGGUGAUAUUCAUAUGUAGAUAUAGCCAAGCAGUGUUAAUCAGAAAUGUGACAGUCUUAGCUGCCUUGGUGUCUGUUGAGCCAGAGGAUGUAGCCCUCCAGUCUUUACUCCCAGAGUGAGGAAUUUGUCCUCAGUGUCAGAAGGGCGCUGCAUUAGAGUCUGGUCUGGACUGGAAGGUGAAUGGUCAGCCCAGGUCUCUUGGGGACUGGGCAGUUACUGCCUUGUAGAAGCAUCUGUGACUCUACUCUGCUCCACUGGGCAGGAGGGGUUGGUUGGGAUUCGUGCAUGCAUAUGUGUGUGUGCUCUGCAUGUGAUGGUCCCCUGCCACACUGGGAGGAACCUAGCUAACACACUCCUCCAGAGUUACAUUUGACUACAUCAGUGACUUUGGCUUUCUGGGCAAAUCUGGACUCCUGGGGAAAAAAAAGUUUCUCUCUCCAAGCCUGCUCUAUGGUGCAGGAGGAGACACACAAUUGCCUUUGUUGUUUGUUCUUCCCGUGUGGGGACAAAAGCCCUUUCAGUUGGUGUGGAAUGUACAAGAGUUUUAUGCCAACGGCUGCUGGGUCUUGGCCUGGAAUCCUGCAGAUCAGGCUGAGUAGGGGAGUUGGUUGCUUCAUCCAAAGCUCCCCUGGGUCCUAUCUGCCAUAUCUCCAUGUGGUCAGGGUCUACCACAGGGGCCUCACUGCCCGCUCUGUCUUCUCUGAGUGUAGCUGUGAUCUCCUGUGACAUUCCUGUCCUCAUCAAGUGCUGAGAACCCGUGGCCUGUGCAGGUAGGUGCUGUGCCAGGGUUCAUGACUUCAUUCUACCCUCCUAACUUGGAGUUGCCUGGUGUUAUCUCCACUUUGCCUCUGAGGACACCAUCUUCAGAAGGGCCUGAGGGACAAUGCUGAGUCUAAAGCUGCGGCAAUAAAGGGAGGGGAUGGCUCUGCCCCGGAGCUUGAGCACCACAGGGCCUCAACCGGCAGUGGUCAUGCUGUUAUUGGAAACUUAAAUGAAACAAAAAACACAACUCUGGUGGGAAAAGGGAAGGAGUGGAGGAAGGCCACCAAAAAACUUUCGAGUGGCACAAGUGGCCUUUUCUCUUUGCUGUUUCCAUUCCUGGGUGUUUCCACUGUCCAGGAGCCAGAGACUCACCACAAAGAAAACUGUUGCCAAAAUGUUGCAGGGUUGUGCUGUUUGGGGAGGGAACUUUUCCCAGGUCACUAUUGUUUGCUGUUUUUUUUUUUUUUUUUUACCAGGGUCCCGCAUCUCCUAGGGUGCUGAAGCCAACCACAGAGUUGAACUUCGCUCUAAUUUCAAAAUGUCAACAAGCCUGUGCUACUGGGAAGUGCCCGGGAACAGACCUGCCACCAGCCCCAGGGGAGCCCCAGGUACAGGAAUGAGGGACUAACAAAGGAUCCUGGGAAACCUCUGUGGGCUUGAAAGCAAUUUUAUUAGGUCUAUCCAGGAGCCCAGCAGAUUGCACAAUCGUGCUAUCUUACAAACAAGAGAAGAAGAAAGGAGAGAGGGUUGCUGAGGGGAGAAGGGUGUGGGCAUCAAAUGGGCUUUUAUAUGUGAUCUUGUUUAAACAAGACUCUUAUCAAGGAGUAAUACUAAACUUUGCUCUUUUCUUAUUGCCUCAGCUCCGUGGGGAAUUGGUAUGUGACUUUUGGAUUCCAUGAGGGAGGAUUAAAUUGCCUCCUUCGAGAUAAGAGCCCCAAAUAAGCUGAUAGCAUUGAUAGAAAUGAGGGAGGAUUCCCUUGUGUCCUGACGGACUUUGAUUCUGCUAUCUAGACUCUUGUCUUCUGUGCACAAACUGUACAUCAAGACAGAAGAAAGCUGGUCUUGUGGAAGAGCAGCAUAGAUGGGGUGCCUCCCCUGAGCUGAGCUGUGUGCAGGAGGGGUGGGAUUCCCAGGAAUGAGCCACACCUGGGCCUGCAGGAAUGGUCCAGGUCCUCAGUGGUAAGGCUCAGGACGUUGAUUUUUAAAUGACUAGUAAAUCACCUAACACUCUGUUUAGAGCUCUGGGAAAACUCCCAAGUAAUUGUCAAACAAUUAAGUGUGUAUUUAUGUCCAAGAAGUUCACAGUACCGUGUUAGAAAAUGAAGGGCAAGUCAGGGGUAGGAAGUGGAUACGGGAGAGGCUUGAAGCCCCAGGGCUUAGCUAAGCGACUUGGGCUAGUUUGCUCUCUUGUUCUUUGUUUUCUCACCUAUAAAAUGGAAUCAUUUUCAGGGUGAUCCUGAAGGUACUUGGAACAGAGUAAGACUUUGACCUCUGCCUUUCAGGUGCUUUCAACCUAAAGGGGAAAGCAAAUAAGGUAUGUUUGAAACUAACACCAUCUGACCUGGUUAUUCUGAGAACUGUGAUGUAGAAGUCAGAGGAAGACAAAAACCCUUACUCAGGACUUAGGGUGAUGGGGGAGUGGGAUGUAACUCAGUGAAAGCACAUGCCUAGCAUGUGUGAGGUUCUGGGUUCAAUCCCCAACACUGUAAUUAAAAAUAAUAAUAAUAAAUAAAUAAAUAAAUAAUUUUUUUCAGGUAGGAGGUGAAGAAUUGGGGCCUCAGAAUUGGGUAGGAAUUUAGUAAGUAAGAACAUUCCAGCUGGAAAUAAAUAGCAUGUACAAGGAUAUGAAGGCAGGAAAACGCAAGGCAUACCUGUGGGUUCCAGGUUUCUUCAGUUUGGCUCCAGCUAAGGUCCUUCGCGGGGAACUGUGGGAAAUGAAGUUUGAUACUAGGUGGCUGACUUUUGAGUACCAGCAUUCUUGUAUAUGCAGUAUACAUAUACAGUGGAAGGGUUUUGAAGUGGGGUUUACUUCUCUUGUCUCUCCUAGGGUCAUCUGUGCUUGAAUAUUGAGAAGCCACAACCAUCAGCGGAUCCACAGAGACUCCAUCAGCUUUGGCUUCUUGGGAACUGGUAUUCUGGGGGCAGGGUCUGACCAGCAUGCAACAUAAUCCUUUCUCCAUUUUUUCCACAUUUGGGGCAUUUAAGACCAGCUGUGAAAUGCCCUGAGAAUGGGGAUGUGUUUGGAGAGGCUGCUGUGGGACACCAAAUGGAGCUAAAACUGGUCUGGAACUGCACUGUCCAAUAUGGUAGCCACUAACACUUUUGGUUAUGAAGCACUUGGUCUGUGGCCGCUCCAAGCUGAGAAAUGCUGUGAGGGUAAAAUACACACCACAUUUCAAAGACUUAUCACUUAAAAAAAGAAUAUACAUCGUCUCAUUAAUAUUUUAAAUAUUGAUUAUAUGCUGAUAAAAUAUUUUGGAUAUUUGGG